rnacentral:rRNA from 1 species
CGCGGCCUAUCAGCUUGUUGGUGAGGUAACGGCUCACCAAGGCAUCGACGGGUAGCUGGUUUGAGAGAACGAUCAGCCACACAGGAACUGAGACACGGUCCAGACUCCUACGGGAGGCAGCAGUGGGGAAUCUUGCACAAUGGGCGAAAGCCUGAUGCAGCGACGCCUCGUGGGGGAUGAAGGCCCUAGGGUCGUAAACCCCUUUCAGGAGGGACGAAAAUGACGGUACCUCCAGAAGAAGCCCCGGCCAACUACGUGCCAGCAGCCGCGGUAAGACGUAGGGGGCGAGCGUUGUCCGGAUUUAUUGGGCGUAAAGGGCUCGUAGGUGGUUGCGUAAGUCGGAUGUGAAAACUCAGGGCUUAACUCUGAGACGCCAUCCGAUACUGCGCUGACUUGAGUCCGGUAGAGGAGUGUGGAAUUCCUGGUGUAGCGGUGAAAUGCGCAGAUAUCAGGAGGAACACCUAUAGCGAAGGCAGCACUCUGGGCCGGUACUGACACUGAGGAGCGAAAGCGUGGGUAGCAAACAGGAUUAGAUACCCUGGUAGUCCACGCCGUAAACGGUGGGCACUAGAUGUGGGGACUUUCAACGGUCUCCGCGUCGUAGCUAACGCAUUAAGUGCCCCGCCUGGGAGUACGG